rnacentral:lncRNA from 1 species
UUUUGAAUUAAAAAGUUUGACUGUACUUUCAGUAUAUUCAUAGCUGUAUAACUGUCUGUUUUGCAGCUGUAUUAUCUCAAGCUGUAUUCAGUAGCAGGAUAUGCACCAUUUUUAAUGUUUCAAGAAUGAAAGUGAUACUGUGGUAGACUUUCCAAAACUAAAAGACAACAAUAAAGAUAUGUCUGAAAUAGUAAGAGUAGUUUGCUGUUUUGAACUGAACAGGGCAAGUGAGUCUUCAUAUAAUGCACAUCUGUAAUAUAGAAUAUGUUAGGCAAGCAUGAUUUAACAGCCAAAGACAUCCAUCUGAUUUCACUUUCAUUAUAUGUACAAAAUAACACUGAGGCGUAAUAAAUUAGUGGAGUGGUGUGACAACAAUGCUCUUGUGAUUGUAUUUGGGUCAACAUCUAUCUAUCUAUCUUAUGUAAUGUUAUGUUAUGUUAUGUUAUGUUAUGUUAUGUUAUGUUCCAGAGAAGAAAGAAAGUCACACAGGUUUGGAAUGAUAUGAAGGUGAGUAGAUGAUGGCUGAAUUUUCAUUUUUGGAUGAACUACUAAUGUCUCUAGUCAUGGUUGGUUAAGCUUCAGUUUAGAUCUAAAUAUUUGCCUUAUUUUUUUCAGAAACAGUCAUGAAUGCUGAUAAUGUUGUGCUGCUGUUCAUACUGGUUUGGACUUUCACAGCUGUCUGUCAAGCUGAUAAAGAAGUCAUUGUAAGCUGUGAGAAUGUGACUGGAUCUGUGGGUAAAGAAGUAACUCUCACCUGCAGCGUCUCUCUGCUGUUCACUGAAUGCUGCAUUGUAAUGUAUAUGUUUCAAUACCCUGAGAGCAUUAAUGACUCCGUAAUCUGUCGUCAAGACUUUCCUAAUGACUCCUGUGAACUGAGAAACAGCUUCACAUGCCGCUACACUCCAACUACAGCAAUGACAGAACAAUUCAGAUUCUUUGUGCAAACAACGUGUGUAGUGGGCAAAUCAAAAUUCACUGUGGACACAUCAGGUACUGCAUACUGUAACAUUUUUGCUUAUAGUUUAGUAAAUCUUUGCAAAUGUACAUUUAUGUUCAAUCUACUAACAGUGGUUUAAAACCUGUUAACAAAACCAUUAAACCUGAAAAUGAUAGUAAAACUCUUGGUAAGAAAGUUAUUAUAAUUUAAUACAACUAUUGAUUAUUUCUUCAGUUUCCUCAGAACAUAUAAACCCAGAAAACCCAUCAGGAUCCUCUCCACCAGAGACAGCAGCAGGAUCCAAGGAUACUGUCAUCUCUGUGCUUGUGAGUGGUUUCAUCAUCAUCAUCCUCCUCAUCAUCAUGAUGGCGAUCAUUUGCAAAACAAAACCGAACUUCACCAAACUUUGUAGAUGCCAGAACUGGAUGUUUUUGAGUGUCAGACAUGAUGAGGACAACAAUCGUCCAGAAAAUGAGAUAUAAUAGCAUUGAGUUUUGUUCAUUGUGACUUUACAUGUGAUGCUCAUGAAACACACAAGCUUUGUUUGAACUCUACACUAUUCUACAUCUUAUAUCUCAAACUACUAAA